CCUACGGGUGGCAGCAGUGGGGAAUAUUGGACAAUGGGCGAAAGCCUGAUCCAGCCAUGCCGCGUGUGUGAAGAAGGCCUUCGGGUUGUAAAGCACUUUCAGUGGGGAAGAAAGCCUUGGGGCUAAUACCCUCGAGGAAGGACAUCACCCACAGAAGAAGCACCGGCUAACUCCGUGCCAGCAGCCGCGGUAAUACGGAGGGUGCGAGCGGUAAUCGGAAUUACUGGGCGUAAAGUGCGCGUAGGCGGUCUGAUAAGCCGGUUGUGAAAGCCCCGGGCUCAACCUGGGAACGGCAUCCGGAACUGUCAGGCUAGAGUGCAGGAGAGGAAGGUAGAAUUCCCGGUGUAGCGGUGAAAUGCGUAGAGAUCGGGAGGAAUACCAGUGGCGAAGGCGGCCUUCUGGACUGACACUGACGCUGAGGUGCGAAAGCGUGGGUAGCAAACAGGAUUAGAUACCCGGUAGUC
rnacentral:rRNA from 1 species